UCUCAUUUCUUUUAUUAAUUGUUGACUUAACAAUCAACAAUCAACGAUUGCUCAAUUGUAAAGAUUAAAUAUAUUUACAACUCAACAAGGUUUAAAUAUGAGUGGGUGAGAAACAAAUAAAAAAAAAGUUCACUUAAAAACAAAAAGAUGAAUUUUGCACUCAUUUUAAUAUGACUAAUACAAAAAAUUGUCACACAAUACUACAGUUUGAUGGUAUUCAACUUUAUUUAUAAGUAAGAGGUAUUAAAUUCAAUUCUCGCUAAAGGCGAAUUUGAACCACAUUAUUGCUAACCCAUUGUAAAGCUAAGCCCUCCCUCUCACUUAACGUAGAAAAUAUCGCUUGUUCAAAAAAAAAAUACAAGAAAUUCUUUUAUCAAAAUAAUUAGUAGAUGGGGCACCCAGGCUUCAAUCUUUGGCUUAUCUUAACUUGAGUUUUUGGUUAAGUCAUGUCAUUCAUAAUCAAGUAUCAAGCUUGUCAUAAGGUGAGUUGAACUUAAGAUAUUUGAUUUACAAAUUAAGAGGAAUAGUGCAAAUGACCCGAAAUUUACUUUAAAUUAGGGAAAUAAUUUCCACACCUUCCUCCUUACCUUUUCCACUUUUUAAUUAUGUAUGUUGAUUAUCUUUUGAUUGUUCAAUUUAAUGAUAGAAAAAAAAAACAAAUACAAAACAUGAGAAGCAGAGAAGGAGAAUGCAUAAGCCGAUCCUUAAACAAACUCGAAACUAAUUCCUAACCAUUUAGAAUUAACUUCCAUAACCUUUAUUAGUAAUCCACUUGAUCUUGUUUUUACCUAACCCUAACCUUUGUUUGUUACAGUGCACGAUCAACGAUCAGCUUCAUAGGUUUUGCCCGUCCUACAAUUAAAAAAAAAAGAGGAAAAGUUAAGAAUAUAUUUAUUAUUUUGCUAUAGUGAAGGAAAUCAAACAGUAGAUUUAUCAUAGGGAUAGUUUAGUUGCGCUCUUUGACACCUAAUUGUUAUAGACUCAAACCUUAUGCAUUUUAGGUUUUACAUUGAAGUCACUCUCCACAUAAAUGACAUUGUUGAUGCACAAAAUCAGUGAGGACUUUGGUACAACAGAAAAUGUUAAGUUUGUGACCUUCGCUAGAUUGCUCCGGUCACUAGUGUGAAUAAGUAUGUAAAUGGAUAGGGACAGGGAAGCAAACACAAGAUGUACGUGGUUCAC
rnacentral:lncRNA from 1 species